CUCGCGUGUCGUGCCAGCCGCCGCGGUAAUACGUAGGUGGCAAGCGUUGUCCGGAUUUAUUGGGCGUAAAGCGAGCGCAGGCGGUUUCUUAAGUCUGAUGUGAAAGCCCCCGGCUCAACCGGGGAGGGUCAUUGGAAACUGGGAGACUUGAGUGCAGAAGAGGAGAGUGGAAUUCCAUGUGUAGCGGUGAAAUGCGUAGAUAUAUGGAGGAACACCAGUGGCGAAGGCGGCUCUCUGGUCUGUAACUGACGCUGAGGCUCGAAAGCGUGGGGAGCAAACAGGAUUAGAUACCCUGGUAGUCCACGCCGUAAACGAUGAGUGCUAAGUGUUGGAGGGUUUCCGCCCUUCAGUGCUGCAGCUAACGCAUUAAGCACUCCGCCUGGGGAGUACGACCGC
rnacentral:rRNA from 1 species